rnacentral:rRNA from 1 species
ACUUUCAACAACGGAUCUCUUGGUUCUCGCAUCGAUGAAGAACGUAGCGAAGUGCGAUAAGUAGUGUGAAUUGCAGAAUUCCGUGGAUCAUCGAAUUUUUGAACGCAAAUUGCACUCUCUGGUAUUCCGGAGAGUAUGCCUGUUUGAGGGUCA